UUAUUCAACGGAGGAAGUUCAGCUACUCUACACUCUACACAAUUCCAGUCCUUUGAUUCCCCACAAGAAGACUAGCCCUACUCAAGAUGCCUUCAAGAAUUCAGGCCAAGCUUGUUACAGAGCGCAAGAAAUAUUUGGAACAACAGAUACAAGUUUUGGAACCUGUUUUGGGAAAUAUGAAAAAUGUUGUUGCAAAAAGUAAGGCGUGGCUAGAAGAAAAAACUGACCAAUCAUCUGUCAGCUACAUCGAGCUAUCACAAGAACUGGACACAGCAGCCACGGCCUUGUUGGAUGUGACGUCACAUAUUUUAA